AAUAAUUAUUUAACUAGAAUAGUAAACUUCUAUAAUAAUAAAUUUAUUAUAGUUAUGUCUUUUUAAUAAUUAGGUUCAUAUAAUGAGGUUUGACUGUAUAACAUUAAGAGCUUACAUAUCAUUUUAAUAUAAAUUUGUAUUUUUUAUAUGCAAACUAUAAGUAAAAUGAAAAGAACUGUGAUCAUUUUUAAGUUUGGAUCUCAUAUUAUUUUUAUCUGUCUAAUACAGGGGUUGGCAACCUUUUUGCUAGGAGGGCAUAUUUCAGAAAUGCCGAAACUCAGCAGGCAACCAUGUCUCAAAUUAUUUUUUGAGACCAAAAAAGAAGGUUCAGCUGAAUAUAUUUAUUACAUAUUUUUAAUACAUAAAUAAAAAACAAUCAUAUAAUUAAUAAUCAAUGUGAUAUUUGACGUUGUAAUGUGAUACAUAAGUAGAAUUUCCAGUUCUUAGACAGUUGGCUGUUGGUGGUGAGAAUCCCUCA
rnacentral:lncRNA from 1 species